AUGGCCGCGCCCCCAGCGAUCCCGCGCCGCGGCCUCUUCAUCGGCGGCGGGUGGCGCGAGCCCACCCUGGGCCGCCGCAUCCCCGUCAUCAACCCGGCCACCGAGGACACCAUCGGCGACAUCCCGGCAGCCACCGCGGAGGACGUCGAGCUCGCCGUCGCGGCGGCGCGGUCUGCGUUCUUGCUCGACGGUGGGAGCCGCUGGGCGCGUGCUUCCGGGGCGACGCGGGCCAAGUAUCUGAACGCGAUCGCUACUAAGAUUAAAGAAAAGAUAUCGUAUCUGGCAUUGCUGGAGACAGUUGAUUCUGGAAAGCCCAAGGACGAAGCAGUUGCGGACAUGGACGAUGUCGCUGCAUGCUUUGAGUUCUAUGCUGGUCUGGCUGAAGCCUUAGAUGGUAAACAACAUGCGCCAAUCUCUCUGCCCAUGGAAGAAUUCAAGACCUAUGUUCUUAAAGAACCCAUCGGGGUUGUUGGACUCAUCACUCCCUGGAACUAUCCUCUGUUGAUGGCUACUUGGAAGGUUGCACCUGCCCUGGCUGCUGGGUGUACAGCUGUGUUAAAACCAUCUGAGCUGGCUUCUCUAACUUGCUUAGAGCUCGGCGCAAUAUGUGAAGAGGUAGGACUGCCUUCAGGAGUUCUGAACAUAAUUACUGGUCUGGGCCCUGAUGCUGGUGCUCCAAUAGCUUCACAUCCCCAUGUGGAUAAGAUUGCUUUUACAGGAAGUACCGCAACUGGUAAGACGAUAAUGACCGCUGCUGCUCAAAUGGUUAAGCCUGUUUCAUUAGAGCUUGGUGGCAAAAGUCCUCUUGUUAUCUUUGAUGAUGUUGCUGACAUUGACAAAGCUGUUGAAUGGGCCAUGUUUGGUUGUUUUUUCAAUAGUGGUCAAGUUUGCAGUGCAACUUCUCGUCUACUUCUCCAUGAGAAAAUUGCAGAGCGAUUUUUAGAUAGACUAGUUGAAUGGGCAAAGAACAUAAAAAUCUCAGACCCACUGGAAGAAGGUUGCAGGCUGGGUUCAGUCAUCAGUAAAGGGCAGUAUGAAAAGAUUAAGAAGUUCAUCUCAACAGCAAGAAGUGAAGGUGCUACAAUUUUGCAUGGGGGUGACCGACCAAAGCAUCUCGGAAAAGGGUUCUUUAUUGAACCUACUAUUAUAACAGACGUUAGCACAUCAAUGCAAAUUUGGAGAGAGGAAGUCUUUGGACCAGUCAUCUGUGUCAAAGUAUUUAAGACAGAGAGCGAAGCCGUAGAGCUUGCAAAUGAUACCCACUAUGGCUUGGCUGGUGGUGUGAUCUCUGAUGAUCUAGAGAGGUGUGAGCGCAUUGCAAAGGUUAUUCACUCGGGCAUUGUUUGGAUAAACUGCUCGCAACCGACUCUGGUUCAAGCUCCGUGGGGAGGGAACAAGCGUAGUGGUUUUGGCCGGGAGCUAGGAGAAUGGGGCCUCGAGAACUACCUGAGCGUGAAGCAAGUCACCAGGUACUGCAAAGAUGAGCUAUACGGAUGGUACCAGCGCCCAUCCAAGCUGUAG
rnacentral:rRNA from 1 species